AGGACGAACGCUGGCGGCGUGCCUAACACAUGCAAGUCGAACGGAGUAAGAAUUCGGUUUUACUUAGUGGCGAACGGGUGAGUAACGCGUGAACAACCUGCCUUCCUGAGGGGGAUAACACCUGGAAACAAGUGCUAAUACCGCAUAAGACCACAGAGCCGCAUGGCCCAGGGGUCAAAGGAGUGAUCCGCAGGAAGAGGGGUUCGCGUCCCAUUAGCUAGUUGGCGGGGCAACGGCCCACCAAGGCGACGAUGGGUAGCCGAGCUGAGAGGCUGAUCGGCCACACUGGAACUGAGACACGGUCCGGACUCCUACGGGAGGCAGCAGUGGGGAAUAUUGGGCAAUGGGCGCAAGCCUGAACCCCAGCAACGCCGCGUGAGGGAAGAAGGUCUUCGGAUUGUAAACCUCUGUCCUAUGUGACGAAGGAAGUGACGGUAGCAUAGGAGGAAGCCCCGGCUAACUACGUGCCAGCCGCCGC
rnacentral:rRNA from 1 species